GACGUAGGGAGCAAGCGUUGUUCGGAUUUACUGGGCGUAAAGGGCGCGUAGGCGGCAAAUUAAGUCAGCUGUGAAAUCUCCGAGCUUAACUCGGAACUGUCAGCUGAUACUGAUCUGCUAGAGUGCGGAAGGGGCAAUCGGAAUUCUUGGUGUAGCGGUGAAAUGCGUAGAUAUCAAGAGGAACACCUGAGGUGAAGACGGGUGGCUGGGCCGACACUGACGCUGAGUGCGCGAAAGCCAGGGGAGCAAACGGG
rnacentral:rRNA from 1 species